GAGCCAGUGAUAAGAUAUGGUGGAGUGCAGUGGUGCAAUUAUAACUCACUGCAGCCUCAACCUCCUGAGUUCAAGUGAUCCUCCCACCUCAGCCUCCUGAGUAGCUGGGACUACAGUGAGAUUCCUGUUUUCAGUAAAGGACAUCAUCUAUGAGGAACCCCAAAGGAAGGUUCAGGCCCAGCCAACCUCUCCCGACAGAGCUCCAGCCACCUUCCCUUCCCGAGGAAAUAACCCGAACUUCAGCUGAUCAUAUGCUUGAGUGACCAGACAUCUCAGUUGAAUGUCGCCGACAUAAUGUAAAUCAGCUUCUCAGCUCUGUGCUAAAGGCCCAGCUUUUAGAAAUUUUCCAACUGCCUGUGGACUGAUACUUCUGUGAAACACAAAGAUGAACCACUACAAAAAUAAGAUGUAAAAUGCAAGCAUAAAUUUUUGGAUUUAAACAAAAUUCCUCUGUCAGAUUGAUAUAAAAAUUUUUAAACACUCUCAA
rnacentral:lncRNA from 10 species